rnacentral:lncRNA from 1 species
UUAAAUAUACCAAUCAUGAAAUUUAUUAUAUAGAAAUAUAGAUCUGUAUAUCAAGCAAAGAACUCACAUACUUUUCAAGUUACCUUGGGAUUUGACACAUUAAUCCUAAAUUGUAAAUAGAACAAAUGUGGAAGAAUACCUACAAAAAUAUUGACACAAGGGAAUAGUAUAAGUUUCCAUGUCUCAUAUUAAAACUUUAACAUUUUAAUAACUAAAAGAAAUAUUAAAUUAUUCCGUAUAAGUCAGUUAAAAGAAUUAAGAUCAACAUGCUACAUUUCUCUUUCUUUCCUCAUAGGCACAAACAUAACACAUUUUAUAACACAUUUAUAACACAUAUAUCUGUACAUAUAUGAACAAUUCCAUAACUGAUGUUAGAAAAAUUGGCUUUCUUCUUGGGAAAAUUAAAAGUAUAUCUUCACUUCUUAUCAUAAACUUUAAUAAGCAGCAGUGAGUUAACUACAUAACCACUAAGAGUAAUAGAAGCACAAAAUAAAUGGAACAAAAGGUAGAUACAUUUAUAAAAUGGGAGAGAAUAAAGCAUUUCUAAUCUUGUCAUGAAAUGCAGAAACUAUGAAAACAGUAUAGAAUUGAUUAAGGGAAAAUGAAAAACAUUUAUGUAGCCAAAGAUAUUAUAUUUAAAGCUAGGAAAAAACAUUCACCAUACAAAAGAAAGACAGAGGGUUAGUGUAACAACUUCCAAAUUAAAAUAACCAAUAACUCAUAAAAAAUAAAAAAGGUUAUGCAAAGAAAAAUAAUACACCUAUUUUUAAAAAACCUCAAUCUCACCAGUAAACAAAGAAAUCAAAAUUAAAAGUGAGAAAUAGUCAAACACAUACCAAUUUGGCUAAGAACCAAAAGAUUGCUUAGGACUAAUAUUAAUGAAGGUAUGGAGGAAACGGGCUCUUCAAUAUCAGGAAAUCUUCAAGGACAUCCAGUAAGUAGAAUAAAAAAUUGAAUGCACAUACUCAAUUGUUGUAUCAGUAAUUUCACUUCUAGAAAUUUAUCUUGGGGAAGUAAUUAGACAGGUGUGCAAAGAUACAUAAGAGUCUUAUCCAGCACUUUUGAUGGGAGAAAAAUUAUAAAAACAUGCAUGUUCACCAAGCAUUAUUUUAAUUACAGUUCAUGCACACAAUGGAAUAUCAUGCAGCAAUUUAAAAGCUGAGAUAUGUGAUGUGCAUGCAUAUGCAUGAAAGUUGUCCAAAAUAAGGCAGCAAUACAAAUUACAGAAGCAACUAUAUUCCAUAAUCCAAUUUCUGCCUGAUGAGAUCAAAAUUUAUAAUUCCAUCUUGGAGGGGCAAAAGUGUAAUUUUAUUUCUUUAUAACAGAGCUCAAUCUUCUGAGGUCCUAUUUCCAUUCAGUGGUAGGAAAAGACAAUCUCACUCAUGCAGAAUCACUGAAAAUUAUUUUAAAAUUUAAUUCGUUGAGGCUUAACUCAAUUUCUUCUGGAAAAGUUUUCUUCUCUAUUUUAUCUUAUCUUUGAAACUUCUCUCUUGAAGCAUCUAGGUAAGGGAGAACGCUCAUGGCUAUCACAGCAUUGGAAGGGGAGGUGGGUCUGUCUCUGAGACUUGCAAGGAUUUCAGGUUUGUCCCUCCUGGUGUCUGAAGACUGGACACUGGUUUUUGCACAAGGCCUAGCAAGUCCUGCCUCGCUUUUGUGUGUUUGCAGGGUGCCCUGCUGCUGUCUGUGGUUCUGGUGUGACCUUACGCCACGAGUUCUUGUGCAUCCUACCUUCUCCAUCCUAGACCCUCAGUCUCUUCCCACCCACCAGGUCGCUCAGCAACUUUUGCAACACAAUGUGGUUUUUUCAAGGGAUGACAGUGCUAAGUCUUUAUUUUUUUAGGAGCUAAAAUCAUGACUCUCACACAAAAAUAAAAUGAAUACAUAGCAAAGAUUUUACUUAGCUCAUUAAUGAAUGAGAGAACCAGGAAGACAUUAUAAUCCAGUUCAAAGGAGAAUUGAAAGUAUAGGAUCUAGAAUUCUUCCCUCAAUAUUUAUUUUUUUAUUAGAGUAUAGUUGAUUUACAGUAUUGUAUCAAUUUCUGCUGUACAGAAUAUUUACCCAGUCAUAUAUAGAUAUAUAUUCUUUUUCUCAUUCUAUCUUCCAUCAUGGUCUGUCCCAAGAGAUUAGAUAUAGUUCCCUGUUCUAUACAGUAGGACCUCAUUGCUUAACCAUUCCAAAUGUUGUUCCCACCAAUAUUAAGCUAGGGCAGGGCAGCUGCCACCAGGAGGCUCCAAACUACAGUAAGGAAGAGAUAGAUUUGGUCUACACAGCAAACCCUGGGAAAUCUCAGAAGGCUCACUGCAAUUUGCCUUAAUCAUUUCAUUGACCUUUAAAUAAUAUGAUACUGCACUUAAGGUAAUUAAAUUUGUUGGAUUUCAGUGAUUAAAUUACUGAUGAGAUUUAUGAUAUUUGGUUGAGUAAAGUCUUAUUUCUCUUAAAUCUAAACUUCUUCAACAUAAGUAGUGCAAACAUCUGACUAUCUCGUUAGUUCCUCUACUGCAGUGUUUUUCUGGGUAUUUAUAUCUUGAAACAACUUCUUGUAAUCAAUUUGUUUCCUUUCAUAUGUUUUCCAUUAUAUUAUGGUUAGAGAAUUACAUAUAUUGAUUUUUUUUUAAUUAUGAACUAAGUAGAUUGCAUUAUCUAAGAACCUUAUUUCAGAAUAAUUUUUUAAACAAAAAAUUGUUAAUAAAUGUAGGUAAUGGCUCUGAUAAAGUUGAGAGCUGCUGCAUUGCCCUCAUUCUGCUUCUUCUAGGGACCUAUGCUCUGGUCAUUAAGGAGAGAAAAUAUCUCCAGUAGAGUCAGUGACAUUGGGCUUUAGUUAGAUUUGCCUUCACCAUAGUGUUGGUCCUAGAACUCUUCCUAUUAAAUGGCUUGGGGGGGGGGAGGCAAUACCUCUCUCAUUGAUAUAGAUGGUACUUGAAGUCUAUCAUACCAUUUUUGUUCUGCUGUACUUGUAUAAAUGAAUGCAGUGAAAAGUUAGUGUACUUCUUAAUGAUUAUUUUCUAUAGCACUUCCAAAACUAAAAUGUGCUCACUUAAUUUAUCCAUAUAUAUGGAUGUAAUUAUUCUAUAUAUAUCAUUCUUCUAUUAUUCUCUGUGAACAGGUACUUUUACACAAUAAGUUAAUAUUAAAUAAAAGAACAUCUAAUAGAUCCUUCCAAAUUUGAAUUUAGGAUUCAGGGUAAAUACAUAUCUUCAAAAUGUAUAAAUUUUUACAUGAAUAGAGCAUUUAACUCAUGUGUUCCCCGAAAGACAAGGAUAUGAGAAGAAAAGAAUGAGCAAAAAAAGGAUCAAGAAGUAAAGAAUUCAUGUAUAAGAAGACAGUAGAAGGAAUAACAAAAUCCGAGAGCUGUUCUUUGGAAAAUACUAAUACAUUUGACAACCUCUACCAAAGCUAAUCUAGAAAUAGAGGAUAUGUCAAUACAUUAGUAUUGUGAGAAGGUGCAAUAACCAAUACAAACAUGACAUGUUUGAAUAAGGGGAGCAAUACACACUCCGUUCUGUGGUCAGGGGUAAAUAGAUAUCCUUUUAGAUAGCCCAGAAGUAGCAACUACCAAACACAUCUGUAAGUGAAUUCAUAUUCUUCUCUCUACCUGCACCCCAAAUCUGUUCCUUAUCUAAGUUUUCCAAUCUUAGUAAAUGGCAUCAUUACCAUGUUUAAUGCAGAGACAAUUUUUUUUCCUUUUUUUCAUUUUCUUUUUUUUUGUUUUUUGUUUUUUGUUUUUAUCUUUUUAGAGAUGCACCCACAGCAUAUGGAGGUUCCCAGGCUAGGGGUCAAAUCAGAGCUGUAGCCACUGGCCUACAUCACAGCCCCAGCAAUGCCAGACCCAAGCCAUGUCUGCGACCUACACCACAGCUCACAGCAAUGCCGAAUCCGUAACCCACUGAGCAAAGCCAGGGAUCAAACCCGUGAACCUAAUGGAUGCUAGUCAGAUUCAUUUCCACUGAGCCACGAAAGGAACUCCAAGAUAAUUUUCUUUAUUAUUUCAUUUUUCCUUAUAACACAUAUCACGUUACUGAAUCUUGGUUGUUUUUCUCUUUUACAUUCAUCUAAAAUAGCCCCACUUCUUUCCAUCUACACCACCAACACCCUAGUCUAAGCUAACAUCAUUUUUAAUUUCAGAUACACUGGUAACAUCCUACUGGUCUUCUAUCAUCCACUCAUGCCCUCAUCUAAAUUAUUAUCCAGUUAGCAAGCUUUUGAACCUGCAUAGCUCAUGGUUUCCCUCCCUGCCUUGACACCGAAUACAGUUCCUAAUUACCACCCCAAUUCUAGCACCCCUCCCUAUUUUAUUUUUUGUUUAGGGCCACACCUUGGAACUAAAUAUAUAAGUUCCCAGGCUAGGGGUCGAAUCGAAACUGUAGCUGCCAGCCUACACCACGGCCACAGGAAGGCAGGAUCCAAGUCAUGUCUGUGACCUACACAAGAGCUCUCAGCUAUACUGGAUCCUUAACCUACUGAGCAAGGCCAGGGAUCGAACCCAUGUCCUCGUGGAUACUAUUUGGGUUCAUUACUGCUGAGCCACGACGGGAACUCCA